ensembl:lncRNA
AACAAAUUAACCCAAAACUUAGUGCCCUAAAAAAUCUUUUAAUGGUAUUUUGGAUAUUUAAUGGUUUGCCUGGAUUGUUUUGCUGCUUGGGACAUCACUCUGUGGCGCACCCACUGUUGAACAGACUUCUCUGGAGGGUGCAGGAACACUUAGCUCCCAUGUCUCGUGUCUCGGUGGAGGUGCACUCAGUGUUGACUGUUGACCAAGGUGUGUACACUUGGCAGCUUAUUUGUUCUUAUGGUGACUUCAGCAUGGUGGCCCCAGGCAGGUGCACUUAUAUAGCAUAAGGUUCCCCCCAGGUAUUAGGCAGAAAACUCCAGUAGGCAGUAUUAGGCAGACAAACAACCAGUAGGGUGUGUAUGUGUGUACUUUUUUUGUUUAAUAAGGGAUUGUUUCACAAUUGCUGGAGACCCACAAGUCUAAAAUCUGCAGUUAUAGGGUAGUGGCACGUGCGUGUAAUCCCAGCAUUUGGGAAACUGAGUAGGAGGAUUGGAAAUUCAAACUCAGCCUGGGCAACUUGACAGUUUAAGGAAACCCUGUCUCAAAAUAAAAAAUGAGGGCUGGGGAUUUAGCUCAGUGGUGCUGCUGCCUGCCUCGAAUGUGCAAGGUCCGGAGUUCGAUCCCCAGCACCAAAAAAAGAAAGGAUCAGCGAGUAGCUCAGUGCAAAGGCCCUGGGUUCAAUCCAGAAACUGUCUCCAAGUUGACUAAAAUUAACCAUUGUACCCUGUGAUAAGAACCUCAAACCAACCAGUUGGAAGCUUCAUGGACUUAAAAAAAAACCCCAAAAAACAGCUGGGGAUUGAACCCAGGGCCUUUAGAAAAAGCUGUUUCUGUAGGCCCUUUUAAAUUUUCUAUUUUAAGAGGUUCUCUCGAGUUGCCCAGGCUAGGCUCAAACUUGUGAUUCUCUGGUCUCAGCCUCCCAGAGUACUGGGUUUACAGGCAUGUGCCACCAUGCCUUGCUUGCAGCCUUCCUUUUAAACUGCUAGUCUAUAUUUGAUUUAACAAUUUGAUAAUAUGUAUUAUUAACUAUCUAUUAAGCAGGGAGUAGAGUUGAUAACCUCAUACCUUCUCUCCACUCCCCUCUGCCUCCAUUUUUAAAAAGUUUUGUGUUGCCCAGGCUGCCCUCGAACUAGAAUCCUCCUGCUUCAGUCACCUGAGUGCUAGGAUUACAGAGUCCCCGAGGAGCAUGACUGUUGGUGCAGAGCCAUCCUCUAAGCAACUUCUGGGCUUCAAAGGGCCUGCGGUGCAAACCAUUCAUCGUUCCUGAGGUUUCGAGAGCAUCACUCAUGAAUGGAUUCGAUAAACUCUGAGUAUGCUGUUGGUUGUUAAACUGGUGGUUCCUUGGAUCUGAAGCUUGGGGAAGUGAGGAUAGUAACAUUGUAUUUGUACUAGCGUUUACAGGGGUGUCCAAAGGCCUGGUCCAUCCCAUUCUUUUAACUUUCCUUCUGCUGAAUCCAGCGAUUUGGGUUGGAUUGUUUCUUACAGCACAUGAACAAAGUAUUGCUUAUUCUGUACUCAUUAAAAUUAAAAACUUUAUUCAGCAGUACAGAUUAAGAGAGAAAGGAGCUGUGUCCUUGUACAUUUUGGGGUUGUGGAAUAGUUUCCUAGAUGCAGGAAGAUUCAGACCGAGUCAUCACACUUUGUACCAAAUUAUAGGAAACAGUAUUCUUAAGUUGAUAUGAGCAAUUCACAUAACCUUCCUGACAUCUCUUAUGGUCUUGCUGAUCCUGAGAGGGAGAACUGUGGGCCCCAGAUUCAGGACUUUUCCAGGCAAGGCACUUUGGGGUAAGCUGUGAUGGCCAGUGGGUCCCUGUGCCUGUAUAGUCCUUAGCUCUGCCCCUUGGUCUCUUCACUAUGCACUUCCAGCUGUGCCCUUAGCUCCACCUGUUCCCUCUCACAGUGGCCUCAGCCAGUGAAAAUCUGUUGGUUAC